rnacentral:rRNA from 1 species
ACAUACUUCCAAAGAGUGUAGAAAACAGGGCUUCCCGUCCGCUCAGCCGUACCUAAGUCACACGCCGGAAGGUUAGUAGUUGGGGGGGUGGCCGCCAGCGAAUCCCUUCAGUGGUAUGUU